rnacentral:rRNA from 1 species
UACGUAGGUGGCAAGCGUUGUCCGGAUUUAUUGGGUUUAAAGGGUGCGUAGGUGGUCUAUUAAGUCAGUGCUGAAAUAUCCCGGCUUAACCGGGAGGGUGGCAUUGAUACUGCGAGGCUUGAGUAAAGUUGAGGUAGGCGGAAUUGACGGUGUAGCGGUGAAAUGCUUAGACAUCGUCAAGAACACCGAUAGUGUAGACAGCUUACUAAGCUUUAACUGACGCUGAGGCACGAAAGUGUGGGGAUCAAACAGG